rnacentral:rRNA from 1 species
AACGAACGCUGGCGGCAUGCCUAACACAUGCAAGUCGAACGAUCGCCUUCGGGGGUUAGUGGCGCACGGGUGCGUAACGCGGGGGAAUCUGCCCUUAGGUUCGCAAUAACAGCUGGAAACGGCUGCUAAUACCGGAUGAUAUCGCGAGAUCAAAGAUUUCUAGCCGGAGGAUGAGCGCGCGUUGGAUGAGGUAGUUGGUGGGUUAAAGUCCUACCAAGCCGACGUACCAUAGCUGGUCUGAGAGGCUGAUCCGCCACUCUGGGACUUAGACACGGCCCAGAAUCCUACGGGAGGCAGCAGUGGGGAAUAUUGGACAGUCGGCGCAAGCCUGAUGCAGCAAUGCCGCGUGAGCGAUGAAGGCCCUAGGGUUGUAAAGCUCUUUUACCCGGGAAGAUAAUGACUGUACCGGGAGAAUAAGCCCCGGCUAACUACGUG